rnacentral:rRNA from 1 species
UACGUAGGGCGCAAGCGUUAUCCGGAAUUAUUGGGCGUAAAGAGCUCGUAGGCGGUCUGUCGCGUCUGCUGUGAAAACUCAGGGCUUAACCCUGAGCUUGCAGUGGAUACGGGCAGGCUAGAGUUCGGUAGGGGAGACUGGAAUUCCUGGUGUAGCGGUGAAAUGCGCAGAUAUCAGGAGGAACACCGGUGGCGAAGGCGGGUCUCUGGGCCGAUACUGACGCUGAGGAGCGAAAGCGUGGGGAACGAACAGG